rnacentral:tRNA from 1 species
GGGAUUGUGGCUCAGCGGUAGAGUACUUGCCUAGCAUGCGUGAGGCCCUGGGUUCAAUCCUCAGCACCA